UGGAAGGCUCAAGGUUUGCAGUAUCCCGACAGAGUUUCCAACCAAUGGGAUCCAGUAGGGAAGCUGAGGAAAUGUUUAGCCGAGUUCUAGGCUGUAAUAAUCGGUCAAAAUCUGCCAGGAGGCCGUCCUGAAGCCUGCCAAUUUCGUUUCAAUGUCCAACGCACGGCGCAAAUCAAAUCACUUUAUUGAGGAAAGAAAUUUGAAACAAUAAUCGAAGGAUUUCAACAAGGCAAACCGUGCUAAGCCGAACCGGAUAUGGUCGAAAGGUUUACAGAUUAUGAUUCAAUCAUCACAUGUGGCCAAAAUCAAGCAGUGCUCGAUGGCCAGUGAAAUCUUCAACAAAAGCAUUGCGUGGGAGAAAACCAGCCUUCCUCAAAUCGUGACAGUUGAAGGGGUUUCGAUUAAUAACAAAAUUAUGAAAUUGUCGCAAGUGGCGAGAGCUCUUAGCGCACAACCUAUGUACAGUGUACAAACAACAGCAAAUGAAAAAAAAAACAUGAAUGGCGGAUUACUGCCCAGGGUUUUAUGAAUCGAUGGCUCCGGUGUAUAAAAUUGAAUUCGGCUUAUCCCUGCCCUUGGGAUCAGAGAACGUGCAGAGAGAACGGCAGCUGACAAACCGACUUAUUAAGUGUCUGUAAGAGAAAAGCAAUUUUUCAAUCGGAGCCAGCCGUAUCGAUGCGCACAGUGAGACGAUGGAGGAGGAAAGAACGAAGACGGAAAUGGAUCGAUGAGAAAACAUUUUUAGGGGAAGCCCGGGAAGAUAGUUUCCGGAAAUGCCAGUGUUAAUUGGCGAGCCAAGUUCAUAGAUGCAGAAUACACCACAUCGAUAAAUCUAAACGUCAGUUAAAAAACAAUCAGUGACAUUAUUUUUGAGCUCAUCGCCUCAUCAAGGGAUGCAACGAUAAGUUUUGUUUCAAUGAAUCAAGCAGUUAUUUCAAAUUUCUAAUG